GAUUAGCCAGUUGGCGGGGUAACGGCCCACCAAAGCGACGAUCAGUAGCCGACCUGAGAGGGUGACCGGCCACAUUGGGACUGAGACACGGCCCAAACUCCUACGGGAGGCAGCAGUGGGGAAUAUUGCACAAUGGGCGCAAGCCUGAUGCAGCGACGCCGCGUGAGUGAAGAAGUAUCUCGGUAUGUAAAGCUCUAUCAGCAGGGAAGAAAAUGACGGUACCUGACUAAGAAGCCCCGGCUAACUACGUGCCAGCAGCCGCGGUAAUACGUAGGGGGCAAGCGUUAUCCGGAUUUACUGGGUGUAAAGGGAGCGUAGACGGCGACGCAAGUCUGGAGUGAAAGCCCGGGGCCCAACCCCGGGACUGCUUUGGAAACUGUGCUGCUGGAGUGCAGGAGAGGUAAGUGGAAUUCCUAGUGUAGCGGUGAAAUGCGUAGAUAUUAGGAGGAACACCAGUGGCGAAGGCGGCUUACUGGACUGUAACUGACGUUGAGGCUCGAAAGCGUGGGGAGCAAACAGGAUUAGAUACCC
rnacentral:rRNA from 1 species